AUCCUUUGGCACAAGAGGAGAGAGGAUAUCUGCCGUCGCACUGAUCCCAGCACAGAUUCAGAAGCACUUAUGGACGCGGUCCUCUCGCGGGCCCCUCCAGGGCGCUGCGUGUGUGGAGUGAUUCUUACCGGGCCAGGAGGGACAGGUCUUCCUCUAAAAUGCUCUGGUUCAGCACCUCCUGAAAAUCUGAAUGGCUUGUUUUGUUUUCUGAUGCAGGCAGCACAAAAACGUGAAAAGUGAGUUUCUUAUUAUGUCCCCUUUAACUUUUCAUACCUAACUAUUGACAUCCCCAUCAGCUGCAGCUCCACAGAAUGUUUAUACUAUAGCAAAUGACAGCAUGUUAACAUACUAA